CGCGGCGGCCUAGAUUUUUAUCUUGGUAAGGACGAACGCUGGCGGCGUGCGUAAUACAUGCAAGUCGAGCGGACAGAUGGGAGCUUGGUCCCUGAUGUUAGCGGCGGACGGGUGAGUAACACGUGGGUAACCUGCCUGUAAGACUGGGAUAACUCCGGGAAACCGGGGCUAAUACCGGAUGGUUGUUUGAACCGCAUGGUUCAAACAUAAAAGGUGGCUUCGGCUACCACUUACAGAUGGACCCGCGGCGCAUUAGCUAGUUGGUGAGGUAAUGGCUCACCAAGGCAACGAUGCGUAGCCGACCUGAGAGGGUGAUCGGCCACACUGGGAAUGAGACACGGCCCAGACUCCUACGGGAGGCAGCAGUAGGGAAUCUUCCGCAAUGGACGAAAGUCUGACGGAGCAACGCCGCGUGAGUGAUGAAGGUUUUCGGAUGGUAAAGCUCUGUUGUUAGGGAAGAACAAGUACCGUUCGAAUAGGGCGGUACCUUGACGGUACCUAACCAGAAAGCCACGGCUAACUACGUGCCAGCAGCCGCGGUAAUACGUAGGUGGCAAGCGUUGUCCGGAAUUAUUGGGCGUAAAGGGCUCGCAGGCGGUUUCUUAAGUUUGAUGUGAAAGCCCCCGGCUCAACCGGGGAGGGUCAUUGGAAACUGGGGAACUUGAGUGCAGAAGAGGAGAGUGGAAUUCCACGUGUAGCGGUGAAAUGCGUAGAGAUGUGGAGGAACACCAGUGGCGAAGGCGACUCUCUGGUCUGUAACUGACGCUGAGGAGCGAAAGCGUGGGGAGCGAACAGGAUUAGAUACCCUGGUAGUCCACGCCGUAAACGAUGAGUGCUAAGUGUUAGGGGGCUCUUCCGCCCGUUAGUGCUGCAGCUAACGCAUUAAGCACUC
rnacentral:rRNA from 1 species